UUUGGCCGAAGUAACGGUACAGAAUCUGCAUAUACAGAUAUACAGAUUUUUGUCGAAAUGUACAGAUUUACAGAUUUUUCGAAAUUGACAUUAAUUUUUAAAAACAAUCCAAAUUUUAUUUCAUUAAAUAUUAAGCAAAUUGAACAUAUUUUCAACUCCUCACACAUUUUAAGCUAAAAAUUUCGUUCAUGUACCACAAAAACCUAAAAAAAAAAAACAAAGUUCUUUAUGUUUAAACAAUACAGAUUUUUUUUACAGAUAUUUUUGUUCCAGAUACAGAUGCUCAGGGAAAACACAGAUUUAAAUGUGGCAACCCUGAUCACAACGUCCUUAGUAGAGACCUUUUUACGUACGAAUGUAUUUGUGCACCUAGUUGAGGAAAGUAUUUACAAAUCGCCUUUUUGUUUGCUAUGCUAUGUUUUUGGUAGCUGGACAAAUAUUCAGUUGAAUACUUAUUAUAAGUUCUAAACUCGUUUCUGAAUGAAUUUUUCAUUCGUGAUCAUGAAUCGGGGGAAGCUGCUGAACAUUAUCGACCAAAAAUGGUAAAAAGUGAUAAAAAGUCGGAGCAACGAGAUGCGAUGAUUUACAGUUUGGAGGAAACAAAAGCAACUUUACAUGGGUUUACACGUUCAUUAGUGUGCGUAGGUGAAAAGUCACUUAUCUCUAGUGAUGGGAAAUAUCGCCCAAAACGUACAUCGAUAACAAUCGAUAAUUCCGGGGGUUUUAUCGAUAUUAUCGAUAAGUAUCGAUAAUUUGACAGCUAACGUUUGCGGUGAAAAAAAUAUUUCAGAUGAUGAAAAAAAAACUAUUUCAGAUUGUGAUGAAAAAAAAACUAUGACAGAUAAAUAAGUUGGAUGAAUUUCCCAUGCAAGAUUAUCAUGUUAGCUUCCUCGCAAAAAAAUAUUACGUCCUUGCGUGCGGCCUUCCGGCAGUUAACCGUAACAUUUGCCAUGGCGGACGAAAACAUGCGUGUAGCCAUGUUUUUAAGCUCUUUCUUCGUUUUUUUUUAUUAAUUCCUCCUCCGUUUUCGCGACAAAAUUGUUGGAAUAGAUCUUGCGCUUCAAGUCCCAGAAAUUCUCGAUGGGAAGCAGGUGGGGGACAUUGGGCGGAUUCGUCGACUUCGGUACCACAUCGAUAUUCAGCCGCUCCAUCUCCUCGUACGAUCGCUUCGAGUAGUUGGCCGACGUCAAAUCUGGCCAGAACACCGCGUCUUCGCGCUUAUGGUAUUUCGUGAUGAACGACGCAACGUCUGUCAGGCACUUCGUACUAUAAAUUUCCCCGUUCACGGCCAGCCCGGAGCGAAAGAAGAGUAACUUUGACAUCCCUUUCUCGCUGAUUGUCAGCCACAGCCGCACCUUCUUGGGGAACUUGGUCUGUGAAAUAAACUUUACCUCGGUGCUCACUUCCUUCGUGGGGGAGGUAAAAUACGGAGAACCCUGCUAGUCGUUGCCAUCCAGGGUGAGACAGGUCUAGUCGUCCAUCACUACUGCCACGUCGCGAUUCACCGGGAAAAUCGACUUGACCAUCUUAUUCAACCGCUGUCGCUGCGUCAUUGCCUGCAGCUCCGAGAUCAGUGGUCGGGAUUGCAGCUUCUUGUAUGCAUGUCCAUGUUCUCCAGAUACUUUUUCACUGUUUUAGAGCAUGCAUCAACCUCUCGGCCAAGUGCACGCAGCGAUUUAGCCACUUUUCCCUCGGUCUUCCUCUUCAGCAUCCUUUUGGUUAUCAGCAAGCUUCUUGUCACUCAGGGUCGUUGGCCGACCAGAACCGGGUUUUCUUUCGAUGCUCUGAUCAUUGUCCAAUAGUGUCAAAAUGUUGUAGAUGCCAGAACCGGCAUACCCGGUGUCCACAAAGUGCCGCACGAUGUCUGUUUUUGACGCCAUUUUGAAACCCAUGAAAUCGGAAAUUUUUGUCCAUUUUUUUACCGCAAACGUUAUUGCGGUUAUAGUAACGGCCCAAACAGAUUGGAUACGUUUGCGUUGCGUUGGCGUCAAUUUGACAGUAAAUGUAUGGGCUAACUGUCAAAUUGCCGCACACGCAGCCGCAGUGGCGUAGCGUAACCGGGUGACACCCGGGGCGGAAAAUUUGGCACCCCCCAUUUCCCAUGGGUGUCACCCCCGCCAGGUUGCAGUGAAAUCAUUUUGUUACCCAAAAUUGUGAGAGAUAUCACGUUCGUUUUCGAUUUAACUAAAUCUACCGAUUUUUGAAAAAAUGGUUGCGAUUAUUUUCUUAAAAGUAAAGUUAAAGUAAAGUAAAAAUUAAUUUUCGGGGUUUCACAGUGACCUCCACCUAAUCGAUAGUUAAUCUCACGGAUAUCACCCUUUUGAAGGUGACACGUAUGAAAAUUUUCCUCAUGGGUGUCACCCCCUGAAGAGUGACACCCGGGGCGGACCGCCCCCGCCGCCCCCACCACGCUACGCCAGUGCGCAGCCGCAACGUAUCCAUUGUGUUAAGGCCUUGAAUGACAAAUCUUACGAUACUGCGAAUGAUAAUUCAAACUACCGGACGAGUUAAACAGUUUGUUUUGGAAAGUCUUUGAGUUUUACGCCGGGAGUGCUUUCUACGGAGUAGUUUCAAGCCGAAGUUCAUUUUGAAGGUUGUGUAAUAAGGGAAAUAAUUGAAGCAGGCAAAAUUCUGUCAAUUUUUAAAUGGCCAAAACUUCACGAAAAAUGAAUCAAUUCAGACAAAACAGGUUUCAUUUUACUGGAAAACUGUCCUAGAUUCCUAGUAUAACUUGAGAACUGGACGUGACCAAGGGUCACUGGAAAUGUUUCAGAUUUCCGGAGUGUGUGCUAAAGUGUACAUUUUUGCAACGCGUAGAACUUUUUCUGACAUUCUGUUUCUCAUAGGUUUAUAUGUUGUCAAUACAUCGAAAUUUAUUUCAGGUUCAUUGGUAGCCAAAGAUUGAAAAUUCGCCAAGGAAUCAUCGAGGUAUGAAUUUAUUAAGUAUGGGUGCUGAUUUUGGCGGUUUUUUCCCUGUUGGGUACUAAUUUUCUUUGAGCUUGCAGCACUCUAGCAGAAUUCAAUCGAACAUUGUGGGUGUGUAGGUCUUAUUAAACCAAGCAACUUUGCAAACUUGCGUUUGAAAAUUUAUCUGGAUUAACAUUUAAAAAGGUCAGAUUGAAAGUUGAGACCAUGAUAAUUGUUAGUCAAAACUUCGAUCAUCAUGUGACAAAUUUCAGGAACUCAUUACUGAAAAUUGCACUCUUCAGGAUGGGGUAAGUUCAUCAAAGCAGUCCCAAAUGUUUGCAUGCUUUGGUUGGAAAAAAAAUUCAAAAAUAAAUGGUAACAUGUGUACCGUUUUUUGAACCCGUUUGUCCCGUUUUUAACCCGAGAAAAUCUGGUCAGCCUACUUCAAAAAUAUAAAAAAAUGAGUUUAAGAUCCUGCUCUGAAAAAAUAUAAUUUAAAAAAAAAAAAUUAUUUUAGAAAAUAUCGGUGAUCUCAGAUUUUUUUUAAAUGAAAUAUUUUAGAUAGACAAUUUAGUUGCCUAAAACGUUCUAUGUGUUGCAAAAAUGUACACUUUGACACAAACUCUUGAAAUCCGAAACAUUUUCGGUGUAGGUUGGUCACACCAAGUUCCCAAGUAAUACUAAUAUAAUACUGUUUUCUAGUGAAAUGAAACCGGUUAUCAAAAUUGAUUCAUUUUUCGUAAAGUUCUGGUCAUUUAAAAUUCGAGAAAAUUUUAUUUAUCUCAAUUUUUUGUCUACCCCAGGAUAUUUUUUGGCGCAACAAUUUCGUUGAUUUGGAUUUUUAGUGGAACUAAAAAUUGUUUGUUGGGUAACAGAUACUUCAAACUUAAACAGUUCCAAGUUAAACUAAACAAUUACCAGAGAAUUACCAAUAGACUGCCGCUAUGCAUGUCUAUCAUAUUAUAAGAGUUGGCAAGCCAAAGAAAAUGCAUUUUAUUACAAUUUCGUGUCAUUGCUUUUUAUGAGAUGGUGCGAAAAGUUUGGAUAUUUUUCUAAAGUUCUCCAGUACUGAGUUGUCGAAUUUAUCUGUUCAUAGGAAACUAAAAACUAUAAAUACCUUUUUAGUUACCAUUAUUUCUCAGAAACUCAGUGACAUCCGGGGCGAACCUUCACACUACCCCCAACAAUGCUAAAUCUUGUCGAAUAGCAACAAAUACCCAGCGGCAAAAGCAACUCCUGGGGAAGGGUAGGUGAGGUCUCCUUCUUUUGGGUCUCCUCCAGUAACCAGCCGCACUGACUUGUGCUCACCCUUAUAAUAUCGAUAAUUAUCGUUAACGUCAAAAAGUUAACGAUAAUAUCGAUGUCAAGCACUUAUCGAUAUUAUCGAUAAGUAUCGAUAAGUUUCCCAUCACUAGUCCUUAGGCCUCAUUCGUUUUUCAAUUUUUCCUGGUACGGACGUGGAUUGUCCUUUUUCUGGUACAGGCAGUACAAGAUUCUGUAAAAUAAGGAGUGCAAAAUGGUAGCCAUCUGUACUGAAGCUAAAUUGCCCUGCGAAUUUUCUUGUGAUGCCGUGAGUUAACGACCGCAAGAAAAUUCCGCAGAGGCAAUAUCACGUUUCGAAAACAUUUUGCUGUAAGAUAAGACGAUGUGUAAAGUUGACGGUAGCAGAAAAUUAGCAGAUCGGACCGAUGGUUAAUUUGCUGGAAAUGGACCGAACAGACUAAAAAUAACGCUUCAUUUUAAAUUGUAUUGUUUAUUGUAACACAAUGGUUAGCCUUAUAUAACAAAAGUUUGCAUGAUAAUAAACUAUAGUUGCAAAA